CGUCCGUGCUGGGUUUUUAUUGUCAUUGCGUUUUAUAGACAGUUUUACGAGCUAACGAAAGUGGUUCUGCUGCGGGGCAAGGGAAAGGAGCGGCCCCGCGAUAAUGCCCCAUUCCGAUCCGAUCCGUUUCGAUGCCGGCAUAUUUGGGGUUUUACGAUCCCGCCGCCUUCGCCGACAGCGUGUAUUGGGAAAACUGUAAAUCACACUUGCCCACGGAGCCACGGACAGAUAUACGGACAACGGACAGAUAUACGGACAUACAUAUACGGACAUUGCCCCACAUUGGACCAGAGCCGCGAUAAAACGUCGCACAUGAGAUGUGUAUUAGCGUGUCUGUUAAAUUGUUUUUAGUUGCCGACGCGUCUGCAAAUGAGCCAUUGUUGAAAGGAUGGGGAAAGGCCGUUGGGGCCGCGAGUAAGGGAUCCCCAAGCUGCCCAUCGAUUUUGAAUGUGUCACGGAGGGAUUAUGGACUUUAAAUGAGCGCACAAUGGACCAUCUUUCAAUUCAACUCGAAACUUGCCACGACAUUUCUUAGCGACCCUCAUCAUAAUUCCCGAGCCUUGGUUUACUGUGCCCUCAUUGUUUGUUUUCACAUAAUUAAAUUCAAACAGCGAGCUGGCAGACAACUUUGUGUGGCAGGCGCCCCAUAUG